rnacentral:sRNA from 1 species
CGGUGCAGGGGAGAUCAUGUUUGACUGUAUGGAUGUUCUGUCAGUGAGUCCUGGGCAAAUCCUGGAUUUCUACACUGCGAGUCCGUCUUCCUGCAUGCUCCAGGAGAAAGCUCUCAAAGCAUGCUUCAGUGGAUUGACCCAAACCGAAUGGCAGCAUCGGCACACUGCUCAAUCGAUUGAAACACAGAGCACCAGCUCUGAGGAACUCGUCCCAAGCCCCCCAUCUCCACUUCCUCCCCCUCGAGUAUACAAACCCUGCUUCGUCUGCCAGGACAAAUCAUCAGGGUACCACUAUGGGGUCAGCGCCUGUGAGGGAUGUAAGGGCUUUUUCCGCAGAAGUAUUCAGAAGAAUAUGAUUUACACUUGUCACCGAGAUAAGAACUGUGUUAUUAAUAAAGUCACCAGGAAUCGAUGCCAAUACUGUCGACUCCAGAAGUGCUUUGAAGUGGGAAUGUCCAAAGAAUCUGUCAGGAAUGACAGGAACAAGAAAAAGAAGGAGACUUCGAAGCAAGAAUGCACAGAGAGCUAUGAAAUGACAGCUGAGUUGGACGAUCUCACAGAGAAGAUCCGAAAAGCUCACCAGGAAACUUUCCCUUCGCUCUGCCAGCUGGGUAAAUACACCACGAAUUCCAGUGCUGACCAUCGAGUCCGACUGGACCUGGGCCUCUGGGACAAAUUCAGUGAACUGGCCACCAAGUGCAUUAUUAAGAUCGUGGAGUUUGCUAAACGUCUGCCUGGUUUCACUGGCUUGACCAUCGCAGACCAAAUUACCCUGCUGAAGGCCGCCUGCCUGGACAUCCUGCUCCUGCCUUUGGAAAUGGAUGACACAGAAACAGGCCUUCUCAGUGCCAUCUGCUUAAUCUGUGGAGACCGCCAGGACCUUGAGGAACCGACAAAAGUAGAUAAGCUACAAGAACCAUUGCUGGAAGCACUAAAAAUUUAUAUCAGAAAAAGACGACCCAGCAAGCCUCACAUGUUUCCAAAGAUCUUAAUGAAAAUCACAGAUCUCCGUAGCAUCAGUGCUAAAGGUGCAGAGCGUGUAAUUACCUUGAAAAUGGAAAUUCCUGGAUCAAUGCCACCUCUCAUUCAAGAAAUGCUGGAGAAUUCUGAAGGACAUGAACCCUUGACCCCAAGUUCAAGUGGGAACACAGCAGAGCACAGUCCUAGCAUCUCACCCAGCUCAGUGGAAAACAGUGGGGUCAGUCAGUCACCACUCGUGCAAUAAGACAUUUUCUAGCUACUUCAAACAUUCCCCAGU